rnacentral:rRNA from 1 species
GACGAACGCUGGCGGCGUGCUUAACACAUGCAAGUCGAACGGAAAGGCCCUGCUUGCAGGGUACUCGAGUGGCGAACGGGUGAGUAACACGUGGGUGAUCUGCCCUGCACUUCGGGAUAAGCCUGGGAAACUGGGUCUAAUACCGGAUAGGAGCCAUUUUUAGUGUGAUGGUUGGAAAGUUUUUUCUGUGUAGGAUGAGCUCGCGGCCUAUCAGCUUGUUGGUGGGGUAAUGGCCUACCAAGGCGGCGACGGGUAGCCGGCCUGAGAGGGUGGACGGCCACAUUGGGACUGAGAUACGGCCCAGACUCCUACGGGAGGCAGCAGUGGGGAAGAUUGCACAAUGGGCGCAAGCCUGAUGCAGCGACGCCGCGUGGGGGAUGACGGCCUUCGGGUUGUAAACUCCUUUCGCUAGGGACGAAGCUUUUUGUGGCGGUACCUAGAUAAGAAGCACCGGCUAACUACGUG